CUUCGUAGAUUUGCGGUUUUAAUAGAUAAAAAUAUACCAAUACAUUAACAUAUUUCACUUAAGGAUACAGAAUGAAACUCUUUGAUAGUGACCAUGAAGGGAUUAAGAAUGCGGCAAUAGUUCCUCGUUUACGUAGCAACAGGAGCCGGAGCAGCUCCCUCCGGUUCGGCAGCCUUUUCUCCGUUGCCGUUCUGCGCCUUGGCUGCCGGCAGAUCCUUGACUCCGGUGGAACCGAAUCCUGCCUCGCCGCGCUCGGUGUCCUCCAGUUUGUCCACCAUCACCAGUUGCGGAUAGAAGAUACGCUCGCAAAUGAACUGGGCGAUGCGGUCGCCAUGCUUCACCUCGAAAUCAACAUCUGAGUGAUUGAACAGGACGACGCCGAGAUUGCCGCGAUAAUCCUCGUCCACCACACCGGCGCCCACAUCAAUGAAGUUCUUCACCGCCAGCCCGGAUCGUGGGGCUACGCGUCCGUAGGAGCCCUCCGGAACCUGCACUUGCAGAUCGGUCUUGACAAUGGCCUUUCCGCGUGCCGGCACCACAACGUCGUAGGCGCUGCGCAGGUCAACUCCCGCCGCUUUGGCGGAUCCCCUCACCGGCUCCAAAGCAUUCUCGGUGAGUUUGGCGAAUCGCAGGACGCACGUGUCGAUCUUCAUCUUCUUGGCAGCUGGAAUGUCGGCGAAAUCGGUUGAUGGCAUUUGGAGCAAAUUGAGUUAUUACAGGAAUGCUUCGAAAGUACAGAGACUUUUUUCAGCUUACUUGCAGAAUUCUGGUCUGAAAAUAACGCGGUUUAACACAGCGUCGGAAAAUUGGCGGACUUCCAGUGUUGCAAGAUACCAAAAGUACAAAUCGCCGAAAAUCUACCAAAAAAUCUUAAGUCAGCUUUGCAUUUCUAAAAAACAUAUAUACAACUAUGCCUUGAGUUUAAUUAAACAAAUAAUAAAUAAAACAAUAAUUUAGGCAUUAAUAAAUAAAUC
ensembl:ncRNA asRNA:CR45778 antisense RNA:CR45778